GACGGAGGAUGCAAGCGUUAUCCGGAAUGAUUGGGCGUAAAGCGUCCGCAGGUGGCAGUUCAAGUCUGCUGUCAAAGACCGGGGCUUAACUUCGGAAAGGCAGUGGAAACUGAACAGCUAGAGUAUGGUAGGGGCAGAGGGAAUUCCCGGUGUAGCGGUGAAAUGCGUAGAGAUCGGCAGGAACACCCAGGGGGAAACCGAAGUCGACUGGGC
rnacentral:rRNA from 1 species